rfam:Heterocephalus glaber contig149461, whole genome shotgun sequence.
GGGAUGUGAUGUGAUGCCAUCACCCAGUAGAUCUCUGGGGUUGAUUAGGCUGAUGGGGCAGGUUGGCAAGAGCCCCAUUCCUCCUGUGCCAUCCCACGUACUUCCCCUCAAGGCUGAGCAAUCUGCUGAAGAAUCUUUCCUUCCUCCAGAAGACACCCUUUCUGGGGCCAGAAUAGGAGUAGCUAUGUCCUGCCCCUGCUGGAACUUCCAAACAAGCUCUCAAGGAUUGGUAGGAGUACUGGGAUAGUGAAACUUCCAAUACUCCAGGGCUAUCCAAAUGUGAUGGUGCACGCGACAGUCUGCCUCUCCGG